UCGGAUAUGGCGCAAUGGAUAGCGCGGUCUCAUAGGGAAUUCUCCCGGGAUUGGGAUGAAAGAGGCAGAUCGAGGUUCGAUUCCUCGUGUCCGUC